rnacentral:rRNA from 1 species
UACGUAGGGUGCGAGCGUUGUCCGGAAUUACUGGGCGUAAAGAGUUCGUAGGCGGUUUGUCGCGUCGUUCGUGAAAACCCGGGGCUUAACCCUGGGCUUGCAGUGGAUACGGGCAGACUAGAGGUAUGCAGGGGAGAACGGAAUUCCUGGUGUAGCGGUGAAAUGCGCAGAUAUCAGGAGGAACACCGAUGGCGAAGGCAGGUCUCUGGGCCACUACUGACGCUGAGAAGCGAAAGCAUGGGGAGCGAACAGG